rnacentral:rRNA from 1 species
ACGCGAAGGACCUUACCAGCUCUUGACAUUCGGGGUAUGGGCAUUGGAGACGAUGUCCUUCAGUUAGGCUGGCCCCAGAACAGGUGCUGCAUGGCUGUCGUCAGCUCGUGUCGUGAGAUGUUGGGUUAAGUCCCGCAACGAGCGCAACCCUCGCCCUUAGUUGCCAGCAUUUAGUUGGGCACUCUAAGGGGACUGCCGGUGAUAAGCCGAGAGGAAGGUGGGGAUGACGUCAAGUCCUCAUGGCCCUUACGGGCUGGGCUACACACGUGCUACAAUGGUGGUGACAGUGGGCAGCGAGACAGCGAUGUCGAGCUAAUCUCCAAAAGCCAUCUCAGUUCGGAUUGCACUCUGCAACUCGAGUGCAUGAAGUUGGAAUCGCUAGUAAUCGCAGAUCAGCAUUGCUG